rnacentral:rRNA from 1 species
GUGAACGCUGGCGGUAGGCCUAACACAUGCAAGUCGAACGGCAGCACAAUAAGAGCUUGCUCUUACGGGUGGCGAGUGGCGGACGGGUGAGGAAUACCUCGGAAUCUACUUUUUCGUGGGGGAUAACGUAGGGAAACUUACGCUAAUACCGCAUACGACCUACGGGUGAAAGCAGGGGAUCUUCGGACCUUGCGCGAUUGAAUGAGCCGAUGUCGGAUUAGCUAGUUGGCGGGGUAAAGGCCCACCAAGGCGACGAUCCGUAGCUGGUCUGAGAGGAUGAUCAGCCACACUGGAACUGAGACACGGUCCAGACUCCUACGGGAGGCAGCAGUGGGGAAUAUUGGACAAUGGGCGCAAGCCUGAUCCAGCCAUACCGCGUGGGUGAAGAAGGCCUUCGGGUUGUAAAGCCCUUUUGUUGGGAAAGAAAAGCAGCAGGUUAAUACCCCGCUGUUCUGACGGUACCCAAAGAAUAAGCACCGGCUAACUUCGUG